rnacentral:lncRNA from 1 species
UAAAUCCAAGAAUUCUAUUUGUAAAUUUAUCUAUCAAUAUCAAAUCACGAAGUUGAAUUUUUUGAUAUUUUAUUUUUUUGAACAUGAAAGAGUCUUUAUCUUUAUUCUAUCAUUCACCAAACACAAUUAAAAAAAAUUCAGCUGACAUCAGGGCAACCAACCUCUAAACACAAACGUGCCAUCCUUAGAGGGUUUAAGCUCGAUUGCAAGUCAAAAUCAGAGUCAGGAACCUCUGAACCACUGGUAGUGAAUGAAGAGAUGACACCAAGAUAUAAACAAUGCUUUAACGAAACA